rnacentral:misc_RNA from 1 species
UAUUGACUGGAGAGGGCAUUAGGCGGAGAAGUUGAAGCAGAGAGAACAAAAGCAAUUCCGAAUCCGGGACUAGAGGAAUCAUCAGGGAGUACAGAGAAGAUGAACUGGGUAGAGAAAGAGGAAGAAAUUGAAGUGGAAUUUGAAGCGGAUUUUAUAGGAAUUUGAGAUGGGUAAAAAGCUCGGCCAAGGGAAAAUUGGUUGGAGUCAUUUGUGAGGCGGAUAACUGGUGGCUCAAGGCGGGCAUCGUCGAUGAGGGUGAGUGCAGGGGUGGUGUUAGCAGUGAAGGAGUUGAAGAGAAAUUCGAUGGCGAAAAUGGAUGGGAAGAUUGUAAAAUUGAUGAGAAUGAACAACAGUGAUAA